UGCUGUUUCUUUGGCACCUCCUCCCCCACCUACUACGGCUCCACCUUUUAUGGCAUCACCUCCUUAACUGACUGCUGCUAGACCUCCUGCGACACCUCCUUUAGCACCCGUUGUUGUAACCCCUCCUAUGGCACCUACUCCUUCACCAGAUUAUGCCUGUGUCCCCCGCUACUUCCGCACUUUCUCACUCACCUACUCCUGGCACAUAUCUUGAGCCCGCUCCGUCGACUCUUACACCCCUAGGAUUCAUUACCAACAAUCUGCUCGCUACCUGCAUCACAUAGAUUAUCAACAAACGGUAUGAUUAGCCCUAUCUGUCGUGAAAGCAGAUACCUGUAGUCGCUCGUGACAUGUGGUUCAGAGAGUUUGAGUGGUCCUUCCCCUAGCUCCCAGAGCACCACCAGUCGAUCCGUAGAAUCUUUGAGAUUUGGGGCAAACAACUUCUUGCUGACAUGGUCAUGACAACCCGUUGAAGCGACGAGUGUCCUGCCUGGAUUGGUGAUAGGUUUUGGGGCGCCUCUUGAUUAUGAAAGGAGGAGGCAGAAGAUCCAGGCGAAAUGGGCGAUGGAAGUGUCCAGUGGAGUUGCGCUCCAUAUUAGCGGAUCGAUCCCCAUAAAAAGCUCUACAUCAUACUGUUAAGAUUUUUUUUAGAUAUUUAAACAAUUCAAAAUUUUGAGUAAUUUUUAGAAUUAACCAUUUUUGUACGCUAUACAUGCCAAUAAGUUGAGUCGUGUUCCUUCCGUUGUGGAGCUGCUUAUUUGAACUCAUUAACACAUGGGGACUGUGCAGUGGGUCUCGGAGCAUUUCCAACAAUUGUUGAGGAGUUCGAGCAGCUUCAGGAAAGGCACUUGACCACUCAGACUUAGAGUGACGCCAGCAGCAGUGAUAGUCAGUAUACCACCAUACAUUCGAAGUACGAAUUUUGGACCUAAACAAUUGGGGGGAAGAAGGGAAAGGUUUGUGGCCUUGGAGUGACGAGCAUACCUUCGAAGCCGAGCUCUCCCGUUGUCCCGUUCUUAGUUCCCCGGGCUCCUCACAACUAGAUUAGGAGACUCUUGCCAAGCAUGUGGCUGCAAUGAAUAAGGAGAUCGACGAGUUGCAUGAGUUGAUGCUACAAUGACAACAUAGAGUCAAGAACUCUAUAGCACGCAUAACGGAGACCUUAGCGGAAAGUCGGUGCAAGCAGCCGAUGACAUCCAUGCAGGAGGAGGAUAAAGAUGACGAGUAGUUUUUUUUUAUUUGUAAGCAUUAUAUCAAACAUUUGUUCAGAAGUUUUUGGAUGAACUUUACUAUGCUUAUU